rnacentral:tRNA from 1 species
GGAGAGGUGCCUGAGUGGUUAAAGGAGCAGUUUGCUAAACUGUCGUCGGGAAACCGACGCGUGGGUUCGAAUCCCAUCCUCUCCUCAA